AGUGAACGCUGGCGGUAGGCCUAACACAUGCAAGUCGAACGGCAGCACAGUAAGAGCUUGCUCCUACGGGUGGCGAGUGGCGGACGGGUGAGGAAUACAUCGGAAUCUACUUUUUCGUGGGGGAUAACGUAGGGAAACUUACGCUAAUACCGCAUACGACCUACGGGUGAAAGCAGGGGAUCUUCGGACCUUGCGCGAUUGAAUGAGCCGAUGUCGGAUUAGCUAGUUGGCGGGGUAAAGGCCCACCAAGGCGACGAUCCGUAGCUGGUCUGAGAGGAUGAUCAGCCACACUGGAACUGAGACACGGUCCAGACUCCUACGGGAGGAAGCAGUGGGGAAUAUUGGACAAUGGGCGCAAGCCUGAUCCAGCCAUACCGCGUGGGUGAAGAAGGCCUUCGGGUUGUAAAGCCCUUUUGUUGGGAAAGAAAAGCAGCAGGUUAAUACCCCGCUGUUCUGACGGUACCCAAAGAAUAAGCACCGGCUAACUUCGUG
rnacentral:rRNA from 1 species